rnacentral:tRNA from 1 species
GGAAGAUUGGCUGAGUGGCUUAAAGCGGCACCCUGCUAAGGUGUUGACUCGGUAACGGGUCCGAAGGUUCGAAUCCUUCAUCUUCCG